CCACCCUUCCCCGUGCUCAGCCCUAGUUGUUGGAGUGCAUCAGCUGAUUGGACUGAGAUGUCAAACGUGGAAAUAGGAACACAAGAAUAGAAAAGUCACCUUGCCAAGCUCUCCACACCCAGGAGAGAACUGAUUAGCCCUGAGUUAACAUCUGCUGCCAAUCCUCCUCUUUUUGCUGAGGAAGACUGGCCCUGAGCUCACAUCAGUGCCCAUCUUCCUGUACUUUAUAUCUGGGACACCUACCACAGCGUGGCUUGACAAGCAGUGCCAUGUCCACACCCGGGAUCUGAACCAGCGAACCCCGGGCCGCCGGAGUGGAACAUCUGCACUUAACUGCUGUACCACCAGGCUGGCCCCUAUCUUGUCUAUUCUGCGUCAUAAUAUACAGCUUUAUGUCAAUGUAGGAUGACAGCUCCAAAUGAAAAAUAAAACAAGUAUUUCAUGAGAGAUCAUCUUUGCUACUUAUUCAAGAUAUUCCAUGCCUUUUAAAAAAAGUUUAUUUCUUGAUUAUAAAGGGAACUCAUUUUCUAAUAUAAAAUUUAGAAAAUUAUGAUAAGUUUAGAGAACAAGGUAGGGUAACAUUAUUCUCUUUUUUUUAG
rnacentral:lncRNA from 1 species